UUAUAUGGGAAACUUAUCCCAUUCAGACCCCAAGCAGCCUCAUACCUCAUCAACACUCUGAAAAAUAAAGAUUUUUUUGCAAGGAAGUUCUCUCCUCUCUCCCUUUCCACAAGAAGAACAGAACAACCUGCUUUGCUUCUUCCUUUUGAACCUACCCUCUCCCGGUGGUCAUGCAGCCAUAGAAAGCCUUCAACAAACCAUCCAAGCUUGGACCAGAGAGCUCCAUCGGAGGGUGGUCUCGCCGCUUCUUCAUCGACACUCUCAUCUUCUUCCUUUCUUCUUUCCUUUUUUGUUUGUUCGUGACUUGAAGAAGCUUGGAGGAGCCAUUCCAAUCAAGAAGAAGCCAUGACUUUCCCGACCCUUAAAGGACCUGUGAGCAUAGCGCCACACAUUGGCUUCAAGCAUCCUCCUAAGAAUACUUAGGAGAGGUAUAACUCUUGGCUUAGAUGUUGAAUUGGAUUCUCUUGAAUGUGUGGAUGUUGAUUUGGUGUGAUGUUUUCAAUGAUUUCUUGCUUUGGCAACCCCUAUGCAUGAAAUCAGAAUUAAUUUCAAACUUGAAUCUUUAAAAUUGGUUCAAUUGCCCAAGAAAUAACUCAUAUGAACCUGGAUUAUUGCAUAUUCGACUUUGACAGAUUAAAAUUGAGCUAGCAACUAACGUAUUGUGCAUGAAAUGGCUAAGGGAGGUCUCAGUCUCCCCCCCCCCUCACCAUUCAGCCGAAUGCUAAAAUGUGUUAGGAGGGCACGGCUUAUUGAGGUUUUGGUUAGAUCAUGUAAGAAAUCAUUUAGGAUAGGCUUGGUUAAUCCCGGCAUUCAUAUGGUUGGAAUUGAAAUCAAUGUGUUCCUCGUGUUCUUGUAUGUGUUCUUGAGUUGUUCGAUACUUUGAUAAGUUUAAGUUGAUAUGCAAGAGAAUUAAGUGUUUUCGAUUACUUGAUCUAGAAAAGCACGUGAUAGGAUAUGUUUAGUUGUUUGUUGAACAGGAACCACACGAACUGGCUUAGUCACUUAAAUCCGGUUUAAUGGACUAAAAUAGAAAUAAGACCAGUUUGAUGUUCUAACUUAUUUAAAUGUGGUUUAAAUGAAACCGGUUCAAUGAUGUUGUGUAGUGUGUGCUCAAACCCAUAGGAUUUGAAUGAGAGUGGUCAAAAUUGAAAAUGGGCCAAAGCCCAAACCCAAUUUCAAAACAAAAAAGAAGAAUAUAAUUAAGUGAGACAUGGACAUUUUGCCAAGGUAAACUUGAUUUGACUCUUUAAGACUCUCAUGGGAUCUAUUAGAGUCCAUUCAUUUCUAUCUUGACACGAGGACUUCCAGUCACAAAUCGGAUAGGCUCAUCGAAUCUAAUAUGGGUCAAAAGCCCAUUUUGGACUCCACAAGUCGAUCCGUACCGUUUCCGGCCCUCUAGGGAUCCAAACAGGCAUCAUUUUUCAAAUAAUUCUAAUAGGUUUGGUGAGAAUGAGAGGAACAUUGAAUUGGACCAACAGAAUUCAGAAAUAGAAUAAGAAGGAUUUACUUGAACAUGUAGGAUUAAAUUGAUAAAAUUACAAAAAAAGGGGGCUUAGAUAAAUAAGUGAAUGUAGGCUCAUAUAACUGCCCAUUCCCAUUAAAUAUCAUGAAACUUGAUCACCCAUGAAAAAUCAAAAUGAAAAAAUGCAUAUAGGAUAAAUGGAUAAUGGAUAAAUAAUUCUAAAAAAAAAAAAGUAAGCGGGUUUGGGCCUACAUAAAGCCCAUCCCAAGUUAAAUUGAACUAUCACUCAUGUUAUCAUGUAUAUAUAUAGGUUGGGCCUAUAGAAGGCUCAUAGAAUAUUUCAUCCAUGAUACAUGCAUACAUGUUCAUCCAAGUCUAAGCAGGGCCCAUGAUCAUUACAUAAGGGCUGAGAAGGAUCUGAGUUCAAUCAAUAAAGAAGAAAUAAUUUCAAGCUAUUUUAGACUUCUUUCUCGAGCGAUUUAGCUCGUUUAGUUCCUUUCAAGCCUAAAUGUGUUUUAGGCUGGCAAAUCAAUCAUAACCCGCUGCUUCAAGUGUAUUAGAGCUAGGGAAUUGCCCGUGACUGACCAUUGGCGGAUGAGUUGGUCACCAUCUUCCAUACGCCGAAGAGCGGGAGGAAACCACACGGCAAGCAAUGGACCAAAGAGUUGGGCGAAUGGAAUAGUGUCUCGAUGAGAUCGUAGUUCGACUCGAGGCCCUCGGCUUGCGUGGAAACUGGAGCAAGGCGAAGGCAGUGAUUUGGAGGCGAUCUCUGAUGCGUUCAUGGAAAAUUCUGAUCGUUAAAAAUCUAAGCUCCACAAGCUUGAGAAGAAGAAGCCCGAGAAGAAGAGGCUCGAAUCUAGGACUGCCUGAGUUGUCCAACCCUUAAGGUCAUACUCGUCCUCAUGUCGAAGAGUUUAAGGCGAUUGCACAAUGGGUUAGUUCAGAGAGUCGAGAGAUUGGAGGAGAUGCUGAGAGAGGUAAUCACCAGACUCGAUGUUCUAGACGCGCAUGCCACUAGGGACGAGGAAGAAGGAGGUAAGGCGCCGAGAGUUGUCCCCCUCAAACCACCUGCUGUUUGACGCAUUCCGCGAAGGGUUCAAGUCUACAACGAUGAUUCUGAUGAGGAAGAAGAAGUUGCGUAUGACCGUUUUGCUCAGCGACAUGGAAACCAACGACCUUGUCAAGAUGCUGAUAAUUUCAGGCUGAAGAUUGAUAUUCCCUUGUUUAAUGGGUGCCUGAAUAUCGAGGAUUUCCUCGAUUGGUUGUUGGAAGUGGAGCGGUUUUUUGAGUACACGGAGGUUCCUGAAGAAAAAUGAGUCAAGCUGCUGCUGGCUUUCUGCUUAAAAGGUGGAGCCUCAACUUGGUGGGAUCAUGUGCAGGAGAUCUUUUUUUCUUUUAUCAUUUCUUACAUAGUUUCUGAAUUAAAAAGUGGCUUUUGGACGAAAUUGAUGAAAAAUUGAUCAGAGGACUAAAAGUGACUCUAUUGGAGAAGGUUGAGGCCAUUUCUAGCUCAAAUAAGGUUUAGGACAAAAACGGAAAAAAGAUUCAAAAGAUUGCUUGCCAAAUAUGACUAUUUUCCCCCUCAAUAAUUUGUGGUAGCAAUUCUUGAGGCAUUCUUGGUAAUUCAUAUAGGAGUUGUCUCUCUUAUUAUUAUUGUAAUAGAUUAUUUAUUUAUUUUGGUUGGCUUGCUGCUCUUAUUACUUGGUAAUUUGUUGAUUUUUGUCCGAGGUUGUGUUCAUUAGGUCUGAGUUUUUUACUUUUUAGAAACCUUUCAAGAUUUUUUAUUCCUUGGUUUGAUUUAGUGAAAAUAAAAGGCUGUCGGGGCUCUGA